UUCAAGAAGUCCAGAUACUAAGUGUUCUUCCCAUCCGCUUUGUGCAAUUUUCAUGAUAAUGUUUUUGUAAAGUGAUCAUCAGUUAAGUUUACAUCAAGUGUCAAUUGAUCUAUCAUCUUUGAACAUACUUGUAAAAAAAGGUCCUCUUGUAAUGAUGUUGGGUUUUCACAAUAAUGGUACAAUGAAAUGCCUCCAAUAUACAACAUUGUUUAGUAUUAGCGUUUGCUUAUGUAGGCCUGUUUUACUUUUCAUAUAGAAUAUAUUGCCAUCUUGUCUUUAGAAUUUCAUCAGUAUGCUUUUACUUAUGCCUUUGCAAGGGACCAAAUUGGCGCAUCAUUAGCUUUUUGAUUCCAUGUUCUUCACUGUCUUCGUCUUCUAGAAACAGAUUCAUUUCCAACAGCUGAUAAGCUAUUCCGAAAUAAAAUUUGGGUUGGAACAGUCGAAGGUCAGCGAUAGUUCCUCAUUAAUUCUUAGCUUCCAUUUGCAAAUGAUGUUAUGAUUCAUGUUGAUUAAAAUUGUUAACAGGUCUUCCUAUCUAUUUCAUUGAGCCUCAUCAUCUGGCUAAAUUCUUCUGGAGAGGACAGUUUAAUGGAGAGAAUGAUGAUUUCAAGCAUUUUUCAUUCUUUAGUCAUGCAGCACUUGAAUUGCUUCUUCGAGUUGGCAAGAAACCAGAUAUAAUCCAUCGCCAUGACCGGCAAACAGCGUUUGUUGUAUGCACUGGCAACAGUUAGAAUUUCACUAGUUCCUUUUCAUAAAUAAUUUCUGAUGUUUUUCCCCCCUCUAAUAAGUAAACUUGGCUUCUCAGGCACCACUUUAUUGGGAUUUGUAUGCUCUUAGAGGUUUGAAUACGGCUAGAAUUUGCUUUACAUGCCACAAUUUUGAGUAUUAGGGGACAACACCUACUUCAGAGUUGGCUUCCUGUGGCAUUGAUGUUCACCAGCUGAGUAGACAUGAUAGGAUGCAGGAAAAUGCAUCACAUGAUAGAGUCAAUCCAAUUAAGGUAAUUGAUUUCAAUGGUUCAUUUGAAUUAAGAAAAAGGCAUCAAGCUGCGACUUGUUUUACAUGUUCCCAUUCUUUAGGGUGUGAUUGUGUUCUCCAACAUUGUAACAAUAGUAUCUCCAUCUUUCUCUCCCUGCCCCGACUCUCUGUUUAUGUCUCUGCCCUAAUUUUGCUCAAAAAUAUGAUAACAUGGGGGCCGAAAUGGCUGUCCUUGUUCAGGAGGUUUGAUUGGAUUACUGUGUGGGAUAGAGAAAUUUGAUUCUUCAAAAGGGUACAAAAUAUCAACUUAUGUAUAUUGGUGGAUUCGUCAGGUUUCCAUCUCCUUUUAUUGUCAAAUGAUCCAGCAACUGAAGUAUAGAAGCCUCAGAAGAACCAGCUCCUACUACCAACAUCACCCAGCCAACUAGUACAGAAGAUAGACUCUGUUGCAAGUUCUAUUAUCAAUAUUAUUUCCACUCUUUAAGUUUUGAAGAUAAAGAACAUCAUUGUUGUUAUUUGCUGCAAAUAAAUUUAUUUAUUUAUUAUAUAUUUGUGGAUCUUUUUUGACUGGAUUAAGUGGGCCUGGGUUGUAUUAUUAGAGUGGUUCUUUCACCUGCAACAUUAUAAAUAAAGUGGUGUAGAGGGAUUUU